CUCAGGUGUGAGUUGACGGUACAGUCUUUUUGUACUGUAACUGUUCAUUCUCCACCUUCAUUGAGUUGUUGAUGCUCUGUAGUGGUCUUCAUUGAUUGUUGCAGAGUGCACAGCACGUUUACUUUGAAAAAAUUAGAGUGCUCAAAGCAGGCCGCUUGUGCUUGAAUAGUCUUGCAUGGAAUAAUGGAAGAGGACUUCGGUUCUAUUUUGUUGGUUUUCGGUUCCGAGGUAAUGAUUAAAAGAGACUGACGUGGGCAUUUGUAUGGUGGUGUUAGAGGUGAAAUUC
rnacentral:rRNA from 1 species